GGCAGUACGGCGAGUGAACAGGCAAGAGCUCAGAUUUGAAAGGCACUUUUGUGCCGUUGUAUUCUGAAGUUAGGGUCCUGAGAAACGAUGCUUAAGUCUUCUGGAAAGGAGCGCCAUGGAGGGUGAUAGCCCCGUCUAGCAUUGACCUCAUAUAGGAUCUUAACAUGGAGUCGAGUUGUUUGGGAAUGCAGCUCAAAUGGGUGGUAUGCUCCAUCUAAAGCUAAAUAUCUGCGAGAGACCGAUAGUAAACAAGUACUGUGAGGGAAAGAUGAAAAGAACUUUGAAAAGAGAGUGAAAAAGUACGUGAAAUUGUUGAAAUGGAAGGGUAGGCCGCUAACCAUGUAGAGCCGUGUUUGGGGGGAAGAUAAAUGCUGUAGAAUGUAGCUCCUCGGAGUAUUAUAGAUGCAGUUCAUAUUCCCACCCGAGCGCGAGGAUCUCAGGUUCUACUAAAUGGUGGUCUACCACCCGUCUUGACCAACGGACCAAA
rnacentral:rRNA from 1 species